AGUGAACGCUGGCGGUAGGCCUAACACAUGCAAGUCGAACGGCAGCACAGUAAGAGCUUGCUCUUACGGGUGGCGAGUGGCGGACGGGUGAGGAAUACAUCGGAAUCUACUUUUUCGUGGGGGAUCACGUAGGGAAACUUACGCUAAUACCGCAUACGACCUACGGGUGAAAGCAGGGGAUCUUCGGACCUUGCGCGAUUGAAUGAGCCGAUGUCGGAUUAGCUAGUUGGCGGGGUAAAGGCCCACCAAGGCGACGAUCCGUAGCUGGUCUGAGAGGCUGGUCAGCCACACGGGAACUGAGACACGGUCCAGACGCCUACGGGAGGCAGCAGUGGGGAAUAUUGGACAAUGGGCGCAAGCCUGAUCCAGCCAUACCGCGUGUGUGAAGAAGGCCUUCGGUUUGUAAAGCCCUUUUGUUGGGAAAGAAAAGCAGCAGGUUAAUACCCCGCUGUUCUGACGGUACCCAAAGAAUAAGCACCGGCUAACUUCGUG
rnacentral:rRNA from 1 species